AAUUAAUGAGAGUUUGAUCCUGGCUCAGGAUGAACGCUGGCUGUGUGCCUAAUACAUGCAUGUUGAACGAAGCUAAAAGUGCUUGCACUUUAAGACUUAGUAGCGAAUGGGUGAGUAACACGUACUUAACCUACCCCCAAGUUUGGGAUAACGUUUGGAAACGAACGCUAAUACCGAAUACGUAUUUGAAUCGCAUGAUUUAAAUAUAAAAGGAGCUUCGGCUUCGCUAGGGGAUGGGAGUGCGCUACAUUAGUUAGUUGGUAGGGUAAUGGCCUACCAAGACUAUGAUGUAUAGCGGGGCCGAGAGGCUGAUCCGCCACACUGGGACUGAGAUACGGCCCAGACUCCUACGGGAGGCAGCAGUAGGGAAUUUUCCACAAUGAACGAAAGUUUGAUGGAGCGACACAGCGUGCAGGAUGAAGGUCUUCGGAUCGUAAACUGCUGUUAUAAGGGAAGAAAAACUCUAGUAGGUAAUGACUAGAACUUGACGGUACCUUAUCAGAAAGCGACGGCUAACUAUGUGCCAGCAGCCGCGGUAAUACAUAGGUCGCAAGCGUUAUCCGGAAUUAUUGGGCGUAAAGAGUUCGUAGGUGGUCUUGUCAGUCUGAAGUUAAAGCCCGGGGCUCAACCCCGGCCCGCUUUGGAUACUGCAAGACUAGAGUAUUAGAGAGGUUAGUGGAACUCCAAGUGAAGCGGUGGAAUGCGUAGAUAUUUGGAAGAACACCAAUGGCGAAGGCAACUAACUGGCUAAUAACUGACACUGAGGAACGAAAGCGUGGGUAGCAAACAGGAUUAGAUACCCUGGUAGUCCACGCUGUAAACGAUGAUCACUAGACGGUAGAGGAUUUACUGUCACAGCUAACGCAUUAAGUGAUCCGCCUGAGUAGUAUGCUCGCAAGAGUGAAACUUAAAGGAAUUGACGGGGACCCGCACAAGCGGUGGAGCAUGUGGUUUAAUUUGAAGAUACGCGGAGAACCUUACCCACUCUUGACAUCUUCCGCAAAGCUAUGGAGACAUAGUGGAGGUUAACGGAAUGACAGAUGGUGCAUGGUUGUCGUCAGCUCGUGUCGUGAGAUGUUCGGUUAAGUCCGGCAACGAGCGCAACCCCUGUCCUUAGUUACCAGCACGUAGUGGUGGGGACUCUAGGGAGACUGCCUGGGUAACCAGGAGGAAGGUGGGGACGACGUCAAAUCAUCAUGCCUCUUACGAGUGGGGCAACACACGUGCUACAAUGGGAGAUACAGAAUGACGCAAUAUGGUGACAUGGAGCAAAUCACAAAAAUCUCUCUCAGUUCGGAUCGAAGUCUGCAACUCGACUUCGUGAAGUUGGAAUCGCUAGUAAUCGUAGGUCAGCUAUACUACGGUGAAUACGUUCUCGGGUCUUGUACACACCGCCCGUCACACCACGGGAGCUGGUAAUGCCCGAAGCUGGUUUAUUAACUUCGGAGAUGACUGUCUAAGGCAGGACCGGUGACUGGGGUGAAGUCGUAACAAGGUAUCCCUACGAGAACGUGGGGAUGGAUCACCUCCUUUCUA
rnacentral:rRNA from 1 species